AACGAACGCUGGCGGCAGGCUUAACACAUGCAAGUCGAACGAACCCUUCGGGGUUAGUGGCGGACGGGUGAGUAACACGUGGGAACGUGCCUUUAGGUUCGGAAUAACUCAGGGAAACUUGUGCUAAUACCGAAUGUGCCCUUCGGGGGAAAGAUUUAUCGCCUUUAGAGCGGCCCGCGUCUGAUUAGCUAGUUGGUGAGGUAAAGGCUCACCAAGGCUACGAUCAGUAGCUGGUCUGAGAGGAUGACCAGCCACAUUGGGACUGAGACACGGCCCAAACUCCUACGGGAGGCAGCAGUGGGGAAUCUUGCGCAAUGGGCGAAAGCCUGACGCAGCCAUGCCGCGUGGAUGAUGAAGGUCUUAGGAUUGUAAAAUCCUUUCACCGGUGAAGAUAAUGACUGUAGCCGGAGAAGAAGCCCCGGCUAACUUCGUGCCAGCAGCCGCAGUAAAAC
rnacentral:rRNA from 1 species